GAAAACUGAGAGAUAAGAGAGUGGGCGGUGCUCCGGUCACCAUGGUGGUGGCUGUGGUGGUUCUUUGCCCCCAUCAACCCUUUUAAAACCGUCUUGAGGAGAGGGAACGAUAGGAGACGGAACCGAGAUGAGAGAGAACGAGAAGGAAGAGAAAGGGGAAAUGGAGAGAGAAGAGGGUGGGCGGUUACCGGAGGGUCACCACCGUCACUCCGCCACCAUGGUGUUUUGUGUUGCUCUUUCUUGCGGUUCUGGUGAAAGUGAAACCAUGUGAAAACGAGCAUUGUCUAAACUCUCAUCUCUCCGAUCUAUCUUCAUACCUAAUUGAAUCGUUACAUGUACACCAUCGCCGAUGACUCUUCAUCCAUUGGCAUUGGCAACCAUCGUCACUCAUCAUUUCUCGGGUCAGAACAUCCGUAAUCUGGUCAAGGAUGAUGGGGCAGAACAUCCCGAGUAGGAAGCCGAGAGUCAAAAAAGAUUGACAGACAUAUAUAUAUCAUGAUAUGAAGGUUGAGGGUAAUGUCUUUGAAAAUAAGCGUGUGCUCAUGGAAAGCAUUUAUAAAUCGAAGGCUGAUGAGGCCCGUGAGAACUGUCUGACCAGUUUGAGGCCAAGAGAGCCAAAAACAAGGCUAGCAAAAAACCAAUAUUGUCAUAUAAAUUCUUUAAUUACAGCUCCAAAGGUAAAGAGUCUCCGAAGAAGAAUGAAGAAAAGAGCUUCACGAAGCCGAAUUAUUCUCAAGGUUUUGAUCGCUUUGUUCUUCACCGUGGUAAGUUACAUACACUUUCUGAUUAGCAUAAAAAACCAAAUCAAACCAAUCUUCGGUUUUGGUUUCAGGAUAAAUACACUUUCAGUUUGGUUUCGGUUAGCAUAAAACAACCAAAUUAAUAAAAAUCAACCCGAUUAAUUAUAAAGGUGGGUUUAAAAUUUUAAAUGAAAUUUGUUUACCAACAAAGCCACUGUUGACUUCUUAUAAUGUAUCUACUGGUGUUUACCAACAAAGCCACUAUUUUGUAAACAUAAGUGAAUGCACUGUAUACAGUGACAUGUUUUUAAUGUUAAUUAAUUAAUUACGAAGAGUUAUCACAUAUAAAGGUUUUUUUAAUUGGUUUGUUAAAUUUUAAUAAUGGUUUGAUUCAAGUUGUUGUCGUUGUUUGAUUGGGUCACUAUUCUUUGGAUUUGUUUUGCAAGGUUCGGUAUCGUUAAUCAAAAAUCAAAUCAGAUUUGUUGUUUGAUAUAUCUAUUAAUAACACAACUUAAAUGAAUAGUAUUUUGAGUUGUGGUUCGAUUUGAAUGGGCAAUUUGGGUAGUUCUUCACACGUCACCCGCUACUUUCCCAUUUCGUGAUACCAUAUUCGUGUCACUAGGUUAAUCACGGUUCCGUGACUUGUGUUUGGCUCUGUUGGGUUACUGUUUGAAUUUGGGAAAUGAAAUUGGGAUUACGUUUCUGUACCGGCAAAUAGAUUAAAAACAAUCAAGUCUAGCCCUAUUUAAAUACAUGAGUCUAAACCCGUUGAAUGUGGUUCAAUUGGGACUGACUUCAAUCCGGUAACCAGAAUGGGGACUGUUUGUAAGUUAGUCGUUGUUUUUACCCGUUGCACCCAUUAUCAACCCAGUUGUAUUUACCGGACCUGUUGGAAUUAAGUGUAUAUGGAACUGAAAGUUAUAUUCGGCCGUUACGUCCCGAGUUCGUUUGCCGGCUAUGAUAACUUUGGUAAAAAAAUAGGUUUGAUGUUGCAUAGCAAGGAUGGCGAGUUCACUGUUUACUACUAGCAACCUGUUAUGCAACCAUCAGAACCUCAAUACCGAUUCUGAGUAGUCAACUACAAGUCAUUAACAAACCAAAACGAGUUCCGGUUCUGUAACCAACCUCAUCAUUCAAGUGAGUGAAUCAUCCGUAUAGACGCAUUGGUAGAAAAUGGGAAAAAACGGUUUCAUGUAACUUUAAUGUCUACAAUUGGCAGUCAUUGGGGUGUUUUGUGUUGCCAACAAUAUCUCCAUCAGGCGUUUUAUUUUGCACGCCCCAAACAAAUUUUUGAAGAAAACGCCCCCGGGGGGGGGGGGGGGAUGAAAAAACGCCCAUUUUUUAUCCACUGCGCAUGGUCUAAGGGGUUUAUUGUUUCAUAUGGGAGUAUGAAUUUGAAUAUAGCAAGUUCAUUUUUGACUUUCAAAACCAAAAGUAUUCAGUAAUGGAACACUACUAUGACAACUCUUGAUUUACUUUGCUCUUGUAGAAUGUGAACAUGUUAUUAAUGCAAUCGCAUCUGGGAAGCACAUUUUGAA